rnacentral:lncRNA from 1 species
CAGCCAGCAUUACGGUUUUAAACCCUAAACUAAGCUUUCCAUUCAAUCAGCAUUAGGGUUUUAAACCCUAAACUGAACAUUUUCCAUUCAGCCAGCAUUAGGGUUUUAAACCCUAAACAGAGCUUUUCCAUGCAAUCAGCAUUAGGGUUUUAAACCCUAAACUGAACUUUUUUCCAUUCAGCCAGCAUUAGGGUUUUAAACCCUAAACUGAACUUUUCCAUGCAAUUAGCAUUAGGGUUUUAAACCCUAAACUGAACUUUUCCUUUAGUCAGCAUUAGGGUUUUAAACCCUAAACUGAACCUUUUCCUUUAAUCAGCAUUAGGGUUUUAAACCCUAAACUGAACUUUUUUCCAUUUAGCCAGCAUUAGGGUUUUAAACCCCAAACUGAGCUUUUCCAUGCAAUCAGCAUUAGGGUUUUAAACCCUAAACUGAACUUUUUUCCAUUUAGCCAGCAUUAGGGUUUUAAACCCUAAACUGAGCUUUUCCAUGCGAUCAGCGUUAGGGUUUUAAACCCUAAACUGAACUUCUUCCUUUAGUCAGCAUUAGGGUUUUAAACCCUAAACUGAACUUUUUUCCAUUUAGCCAUCAUUAGGGUUUUAAACCCUAAACUGAGCUUUUUCAUGCAAUCAGCGUUAGGGUUUUAAACCCUAAACUGAACUUCUUCCUUUAGUCAGCAUUAGGGUUUUAAACCCUAAACUAAACUUUUUUCCAUUCAGCCAGCAUUAGGGUUUUAAACCCUAAAUUGAGCUUUUCCAUGCAAUCAGCAUUAGGGUUUUAAACCCUAAACUGAACUCUUUCCUUUCAGUUAGCAUUAGGGUUUUAAACCCUAAACUGAACUUUUCCUUUAGUCAGCAUUAGGGUUUUAAACCCUAAACUGAACUUUUUCCUGCAAUCAGCAUUAGGGUUUUAAACCCUAAACUGAACUUUUUUCCAUUCAGCCAGCAUUAGGGUUUUAAACCCUAAACUGAGCUUUUCCAUGCAAUCAGCAUUAGGGUUUUAAACCCUAAACUGAACUUUUUCCAUUCAGCCAGCAUUAGGGUUUUAAACCCUAAACUUUGCUUUUCCAUGCAAUCAGCAUUAGGGUUUUAAACCCUAAACUGAACCUUUUUCCAUUCAGCCAGCAUUAGGGUUUUAAAUCCUAAUCUGAGCUUUUCCAUGCAAUCAGCAUUAGGGUUUU